GUGGGGAAUUUUGGACAAUGGGGGCAACCCUGAUCCAGCCAUGCCGCGUGCGGGAAGAAGGCCUUCGGGUUGUAAACCGCUUUUGUCAGGGAAGAAAUCCUUUGGGUUAAUACCUCGGAGGGAUGACGGUACCUGAAGAAUAAGCACCGGCUAACUCUGUGCCAGCAGCCGCGGUAAGACAGAGGAUGCAAGCGUUAUCCGGAAUGAUUGGGCGUAAAGCGUGCGCAGGCGGUUUUGUAAGAUCGAUGUGAAAUCCCCGGGCUCAACCUGGGAACUGCAUUGGUGACUGCAAGGCUGGAGUGCGGCAGAGGGGGAUGGAAUUCCGCGUGUAGCAGUGAAAUGCGUAGAUAUGCGGAGGAACACCGAUGGCGAAGGCAAUCCCCUGGGCCUGCACUGACGCUCAUGCACGAAAGCGUGGGGAGCAAACAGGAUUAGAAACCCCUGUAGUCC
rnacentral:rRNA from 1 species